AUGAGGGACGACGGCCCCGCGGCGGCGCUGGUGCCGCGCCUGGCCGUCUCCAGCGCCAGCCGCGUCGAGGAGCUCGAGCGCUUCUCCCAUUACGUCGCCAGGCAAAUCGGGUUCGACCAAGCCAGCGAGUGCCCGCACCUGUGCACGCUGGCCUACGACUACCUGCGCAAGAACAAGGGCUACGAGGAGAACAUAUUCGCCUUCUUCCACAACACCGCCGACCCGGGGUCCCUCAUCGUCAACUUCAUCGAGGAGCUCGACAAGUGCAUACUCGGCUACUUCUCCUUCCACUGGAAAUGCUCCACCUACAUGAUCACCCAGGUUCUGACAGUGGAAGGCGCGCCCAAAAGAAAGCUCCGGAACAUGGUAUUGGAGGCCACCAGGAGUCAGAGAUUCGAAAGGGUCACAAGAAACUUAAAGGUAACUAGGCUAUUCUCCACACUGGUGGAAGAGCUGAAGGCCAUAGGACUAUCUCCCCAAGGUCCGGCACAGUGCAGCGAUGUGAUGGUCCCAGUAGCACAUUGUGAUCGCAGCCCAGUCCUGCUCCUGAUGGGUGGCGGAAUGGGAGCUGGCAAGAGCACUGUACUUAAAGAUAUACUAAAGGAAUCAUUUUGGUCUGGAGCAGCAGCAAAUGCAGUGGUGGUGGAGGCAGAUGCAUUCAAGGAAACCGAUGUCAUAUAUCGAGCAAUCAGCUCAAGAGGUCACCACAACGACAUGUUGCAGACGGCAGAGCUGGUGCACCAGUCAUCGAUGGACGCGGCCUCGUCGCUCCUGGUGACCGCCCUGAACGAAGGGAGGGACGUGAUCAUGGACGGCACGCUGUCGUGGGAGCCAUUUUUCCAGCAAACGGUAGCCAUGGCAAGGGCAGUGCACCGGCAGCGGUACCGCAUGGGCGUCGGCUACAAGGUCACUGAAGAUGGGUCGAUCACGGAGGAUUACUGGGAGCCGGUUGAGGCCCGCAGUACUGACGAAGAGAGCGAGAUGAGAUCGAGGAAGCCCUACCGCAUCGAGCUCGUCGGUGUCGUCUGUGAUGCCUACCUCGCUGUUGUGAGAGGAAUCAGGAGAGCGGUGAUCACGGGGAGAGCGGUGAGGGUCAAGUCCCAGCUGCAGUCGCACAAGCGAUUCGCCACCGCAUUCCGUGGAUACUGCGGCGUCGUCGACAACGCGAGGCUCUACAGCACCAACUCCAUGGGUGCCCCAAAGUUGAUAGGGUGGAAGGACGGCGAGAGCAACCUGCUGGUGGACCCGGAGGAGAUCGGGUGCCUGGAGCGGGUGAGCGGCCUGAACGACGAGGCCAACUGCGUGGACGAGCUCUACCCGGACGGCCAGCCGUCGCCGUCGGCGUGGCAGGACCUCGUGGCGUCGCCGUCGAGGGCGUCCGUGCAGCGCGAGCUCAGGGCCGCCGUCCAGGCGAGCGAGGCGCGCUUCCGGGCCGACGGCGCCCUCCGCGGCGGCGACGCGCCGGUACAAACUUUUUGA
rnacentral:rRNA from 1 species